UCUACGGAGAGUUUGAUCCUGGCUCAGGACGAACGCUGGCGGCGUGCUUAACACAUGCAAGUCGAGCGUGAACCUCUCGAAGGGCAACCUUCGGGAGGGGAAAGCGGCGAACGGGUGAGUAACACGUGGGCAACCUGCCCCAGGCUCUGGGAUAACCCCGGGAAACCGGGGCUAAUACCGGAUACUCUCGAGCAACCACAUGGCUGCACGAGGAAAGCUCCGACGGCCUGGGAUGGGCCCGCGGCCUAUCAGCUAGUUGGUGAGGUAACGGCCCACCAAGGCGACGACGGGUAGCUGGCGUGAGAGCGUGGCCAGCCACACUGGGACUGAGACACGGCCCAGACUCCUACGGGAGGCAGCAGUGGGGAAUCUUGCGCAAUGGCCGCAAGGCUGACGCAGCGACGCCGCGUGUGGGAGGACGCCUUUCGGGGUGUAAACCACUGUUGCCCGGGACGAAUAGCUCGAUUAAUCGAGCCUGACAGUACCGGGUGAGGAAGCACCGGCUAACUCCGUGCCAGCAGCCGCGGUAAUACGGGGGGUGCGAGCGUUGUCCGGAAUCACUGGGCGUAAAGGGCGCGUAGGUGGUUUGAUAAGGGUGUGGUGAAAGU
rnacentral:rRNA from 1 species